ACAAAAAAUCGAAUAGUAUGCGCACCUCCAUAUAAGCUCUCUGAGAAAUGACUUCUUGUUGCAGGGGGUAAAGGUGUAUUUUGAAAAGGCACACGUCGUUAGUGUUAAUCCAAAAUACCUUUCUUAUGCAUUUUUAAAUGUCACUCGUUACGAAAGAAGAGGCAACUACUACAUAAAUUUUGUAUUUGCUAACAAAGUAACCGUCGCGAAUAAUAUCACGGUGACAAUCAAAGUCUUUGAAUAUCGCUGGAAUAAUUACUACCACUCUAUUCUUGAAUUUCGCCACCAGUUCUGCGACUUCAUCGAGAAAGAUGUCUACUUCGGAGCGGGAAUCGGCGAAACCGGUUUAAAUUGCCCAGUAAUACCUGGAAAACAUCAUGUAAUGAAUUUGAGUGCCCACUUUGAAAGCUUCCCCAACGCUUUGCUUUUUGAUAAGGCACGAGUUAACGUUGUGUUCAAUUUGGUUCGUAAUGGCGACUUGGUUGCCGAGGGAGCUGUUUAUAUUGAAGUGAAAAAUGAAAUGAAAAACAAGAAACGCACUUAAAAUGGCAGUAUAUAUUCUUUUUCUAUUUAUGUACGAGUAUGUUUGAUAUUAAAUAUUUAAUUUUUGAGAGUUGUUGUUCAUUGUUGUAGAAAAUUGUGUGCUUUUUGACUUUGCUUCCUCUGAGUUCGUUCGGAAACGUAGUGUUAAUCAACUCUAUGCGCUGAUCACAGAUUGAGACAACUUGAAACUUUGUCACACCGGCAACCUUUCAUAUCGACAAUAGUCUGGCAUUGCAAGUGUGUUAAGAAUGAAUGUGGAUGGCUACAAAGGAAGAGGAAGACCGAAGAAAGUAUGGAUGGAUUGUGUGAAA